GCGCUCGUAGCUCAGUGGAUAGAGCACUUGGCUUCGGACCAAGGUGUCGGGAGUUCGAAUCUCUCCGAGCGCGCCA
rnacentral:tRNA from 1 species